CACGCAGGCGGUUUGGUAAGUCAGGGGUGAAAGCCCGCAGCUUAACUGCGGAAUUGCCUUUGAUACUGCCUUUCUUGAGUGCAUGAGGGGGAAGCGGAAUUCCGAGUGUAGAGGUGAAAUUCGUAGAUAUUCGGAGGAACACCGGUGGCGAAGGCGGCUUCCUGGCAUGUAACUGACGCUCAUGUGCGAAAGCGUGGGGAGCAAACAGGAUUAGAUACCCUGGUAGUCCACGCCCUAAACGAUGGGCACUAGGUGUGGGAGGUAUCGACCCCUUCCGUGCCGCAGCUAACGCAUUAAGUGCCCCGCCUGGGGAGUACGGCCGCAAGGUUGAA
rnacentral:rRNA from 1 species